AGUGAACGCUGGCGGUAGGCCUAACACAUGCAAGUCGAACGGCAGCACAGUAAGAGCUUGCUCUUACGGGUGGCGAGUGGCGGACGGGUGAGGAAUACAUCGGAAUCUACUUUUUCGUGGGGGAUAACGUAGGGAAACUUACGCUAAUACCGCAUACGACCUACGGGUGAAAGCAGGGGAUCUUCGGACCUUGCGCGAUUGAAUGAGCCGAUGUCGGAUUAGCUAGUUGGCGGGGUAAAGGCCCACCAAGGCGACGAUCCGUAGCUGGUCUGAGAGGAUGGUCACCCACACUGGAAGUGAGACACGGUCGAGACACCUACGGGGGGAAGCAGUGGGGAAUCUUGGGCAAUGGGGGCAAGCCUGAUCCAGCCAUACCGGGUGGGGGAAGAAGGCCUUCGGGUGGGAAAGCCCUUUUGUUGGGAAGGAAAAGCAGCAGGUUAAUACCCCGCUGUUCUGACGGUACCCAAAGAAUAAGCACCGGCUAACUUCGUG
rnacentral:rRNA from 1 species